rnacentral:tRNA from 1 species
GGCGCAGUUGGCGCGGGCGGCGCGGGCGCGAGCGUCGCUUCAACCAAUGCCAUUUCCAACGGCAGCGUUGGACUCGCGCUGUGCCGC